rnacentral:rRNA from 1 species
UACGAAGGGGGCUAGCGUUGUUCGGAUCACUGGGCGUAAGCGCACGUAGGCGGAUCUUUAAGUCAGGGGUGAAAUCCCGAGGCUCAACCUCGGAACUGCCUUUGAUACUGGGGAUCUCGAGUCCGGGAGAGGUGAGUGGAACUGCGAGUGUAGAGGUGAAAUUCGUAGAUAUUCGCAAGAACACCAGUGGCGAAGGCGGCUCACUGGCCCGGAACUGACGCUG